UACGUAGGGUGCAAGCGUUGUCCGGAAUUAUUGGGCGUAAAGAGCGCGCAGGCGGUCGUGCAAGUCGCGUGUGAAAGCCCCCGGCUCAACUGGGGAGGGUCACGCGAUACUGCUCGACUCGAAGGCAGGAGAGGGAAGUGGAAUUCCCGGUGUAGUGGUGAAAUGCGUAGAUAUCGAGAGGAACACCUGCGGCGAAGGCGGGUUGCUGGGCCGACACUGACGCUGAUGCGCGAAAGCCAGGGGAGCGAACGGG
rnacentral:rRNA from 1 species